GACGAACGCUGGCGGCGUGCUUAACACAUGCAAGUCGAACGGAAAGGCCCUGCUUUUGUGGGGUGCUCGAGUGGCGAACGGGUGAGUAACACGUGAGUAACCUGCCCUUGACUUUGGGAUAACUUCAGGAAACUGGGGCUAAUACCGGAUAGGAGCUCCUGCUGCAUGGUGGGGGUUGGAAAGUUUCGGCGGUUGGGGAUGGACUCGCGGCUUAUCAGCUUGUUGGUGGGGUAGUGGCUUACCAAGGCUUUGACGGGUAGCCGGCCUGAGAGGGUGACCGGCCGCAUUGGGACUGAGAUACGGCCCAGACUCCUACGGGAGGCAGCAGUGGGGAAUAUUGCACAAUGGGCGGAAGCCUGAUGCAGCAACGCCGCGUGCGGGAUGACGGCCUUCGGGUUGUAAACCGCUUUCGCCUGUGACGAAGCGUGAGUGACGGUAAUGGGUAAAGAAGCACCGGCUAACUACGU
rnacentral:rRNA from 1 species